GGGCAGCAAUGAUGGUGGUCCAUGACUGUCGAUGCUCUCUCUCUUUCUCUCUUCUUUCCCUCCCUUUGCUCCCUCAUUCUCAGUACCCCGCCGUCCUCAGCCCAUCUGUUCCUGCUUGGCCUCUCGAGCUCUCCAUCAGGGAUUACGGGGAAAGGAGAAGACAGACAGAAAUCUACAUUUAACUGGUAUGUUUCGAACUGUUGUCUUACAACAAAUGAUGGGUUAUGUAUGUGUGUUGUUGUUCUUUUAUCACACAUUCUGCAAGCCUUCUCCAUCCCAGCCCCCCCCCAUGUCCUGUAGCCAGUGGGAGAUUUCACAGGCAUUAUUGAAAUGUGGACACUGAGGAUGAUGUAACCAAGCUUUCAGGAACAGAGAGAGGGGCAGAAAUAAUAGACGGGGGUGGAGGGGUGGGGGGCAACGUUGGGGUAGGAUGGUGGUUGGGGGGAGGUAUUUGGCAUAUUUCUCUUUGCUGGUGUCCAGGUCUGCUGGCUCAAGACACUGACUGCUGAGGGCUUGGAUCUGGAUGCUACGCUUGGUGCUGCUUCUCUCUGUGUCUGUUUGGCUACAACUCCCCAGAACAAGAUGAUGUCAUUCACAGGGAUUUGUGAACAUUCUUGAUAAAGAGACAAAAUCACAGGGGCGAGCCCAACGUUGCCAGAGUGUGAACAGGUCAAAGAACUAUACCACUCCUCUUUAUGGGUGGGUCGAUUCAUCGUGGUGAAUCACGAAAGUGGAUUUUUAUUGCUUAUAAACUGCAAAUAUUAUAAAUGCGUGAAGCUGGAAAAAUAAUAAUGGGAGCUGAAUAAGCUACAGUGAUGUCUUAAUACCAUUCGGCUCCUUGAGUUUCAGGUUCCUGGUAAUGAACAUCUGAAGUCCUCAGUGCCCUCAACCAUUUGUAUGUUCAUUAACAAUACACUUUUUGCUUUUAUUCUCCAUCAUAUUAUUAUCCGCAAACACACUUUGUGAUUAUCUUUUUUUAUCUUCACAGUGUUUCAACUGGAUUCCACCAAGGCGAAACAAACCAUGCACCACAGCUAAGCUGUUUUAAAUCACUUCAAUAGGAGGAGCUCCAUCACAAAACCAAUUACAAGGAUCAAACUUGACUGAAAUCAGUCAAAAUUCAAAGCCAAAAAUCAAGAUUUUUGCUGUGAAAAAGAUGUUUCUGAUCUGGCACAGAUCAGCAUGAAGAUACUGUGGAAAAGUGAGAUAAACUGCUUUUUGACAUAUGAGGCAAAAACAAGACAAAAGCUUUUGUGUCAAACCUCUUUUCAAAUGUAGUUCCAGUAUUCAGUUCCCUUUUAGUUUUUCUACCUAGACACUAAUUUUUCCUGUCUCAUAGUAAGGAACGCAAAGGUAGCUUGCUCGCAUUUUGGAAAUGUGAGCAAUACAAUCAAAACAAUUAGCUAAAAGAGGCUAAAAAGGUGAAUGACAUAAAACAUCUGGUGAAAAUAAUGGUAUUUCUGAAAACACCUAUUAGUGCAGUUUUUCAGUUCAAUUCACUGAAUUUAUAGAGCAUCAAAUGACAGCAGCCUGAAGCCUAGAAUUUUAAGGGGGUUCAGACAGCGUACCGUAAAAAAAAUCCCAGAAACUUGUUCAGUUAGCCCUCAGCAACUCGGCAACCUUCUGAUGAUCUUCUGGCAACCGCUGGUUGCUUGGAAAAAAUAUGUAAUCCCCAACCAGUUGAGGAAUAGAAUAGAAUGCCUUUAUUGUCACUAUACAGUUGUACAAUGAGAUACAGAGCAUCUCCUACUCAGCGCAAACAUGCUGGGGGGGGGGGGUACAGUUCUGCAGCGCUAUAUAUAUAUACAUAUGGACAGUAUUAACAGAGGGAAAAAGAUAUAUAUAUAUAUAAAAUGUACAAAUAUACAAGCCGGUUUUAAAAAAAGUAAUUUGUAAGAAAUAGUGUUGUAUAUAUACAGUUGGGUUAUUGCACAUAGAAUUAGUAUUGCACAGUGGUGGUCCACUGUGGGGGGGGGCUGUGUUAUCGGUGCAUGUGUGAGUUCAGGGUGGUUAUGGCUUUGGGGAAGAAACUGUUUUUGAGUCUGUGGGUUUUUGUGCUGAUGCACCUGUAGCGCAGGCUGAACAUGUUGAAACCAGGGUGGGAGCUGUCCUUGAUAAUGUUUGCUGCUCUGCUGAGGCAGCGGGAGGAAUAAAUGUCCAUCAGGGAGGGGAGAGGGCAGCCAAUGAUCUUUUGUGCUGUCUUGACCACACUCUGAAGCCUCACUCUAUCCGCCUUGGUGCAGCUGCCGUACCAUACCGUGAUGCAGUAGGUUAGCAGGCUCUCAAUGGACGAGCGGUAGAAGGUCAGCAGCAGGUUGGAGUUCAGCUUGUACUUCCUGAGGACUCUCAGGAAGUGCAGCCGCUGUUGGGCCUUCUUGACGACCGCUGAGAUGUUGUCUGUCCAGGAGAUGUCAGCAGAGAUGAGGACACCAAGGAACCGGAAGGUGUGGACCCUCUCCACACACUCCCCGUUGAUGUAAAGGGGGGCUAAGUCAGUGCUGUGUCUCCUGAAGUCGAUAAUAAGCUCUUUGGUUUUCUUAGUGUUCAGUGCCAGGUUGUUUUCUGAACACCAUGCUGCCAGUUUCAGGACUUCCUCUCUGUAGUCUGCCUCGUCUCCCUUUGAGAUGAGUCCGACUACCGUGGUGUCAUCAGCAAACUUGAUGAUGAGAGUGUUGUUGUGGGUCGAACUGCAGUCGUGGGUGUAGAGAGAAUACAGGAGGGGGCUCAGCACACAGCCCUGUGGGGAGCCGGUGCUCAGUGUGCGAGUGGAGGAGAGAUGAGGGCCGAGUCUUACGGUCUGGGGCCGGUUUGUGAGAAAGUCCUUUAUCCAGGCACAUGUGAGAGGAGGGAGGCCAAGAGUGACCAGUUUGGUGAUGAGGAUGUCCGGGAUGAUUGUAUUAAAGGCUGAGCUGUAGUCCACGAAGAGCAUUCGGACGUAGCUCUGCCGCUGCUCUAGGUGACUCAGCACAGCGUAGAGGGCUGUGGCGAUGGUGUCUUCUGUGGAUCUGUUAGCACGGUAUGCAAACAGGUGGGGGGCGAAUUCUGGGGGGAGGUAAUCCUUGAUGUGCUGAAGGACUAGUCUCUCAAAGCAUUUCAUGAUUACCGGUGUGAGGGCCACAGUUUGCUGGAGACUGCUGCACCUCCUUAUGAUUGUUUGGUUUCUAGCAGAUUGCCGCAGCCACCUGUAGUUUGCCUGGAAGAUGUUAACUGUUGUCUGCAAAAACUGAGAAAAACUAGAUAAACUGCAAAAAGUACAACACAAAUCAGAAACUAAGAAGAUUUGCCCUUUCAGAUGUGUUGAUUGCAGUGUCACGACACAACCUUUGUGCAUCCUACACAAACUAUAGGCAGACGCAGCUAUCCAUUAGUGACCAAACCAGUUGUAAGGAGGUUUCUGCUGCAACACUGUAUACCUCUUUAGCAGUUUCUCAUAGCGACAUGAAGCAAUCACUUGCCAACUGGUUGGGGAAUGCAUAUUUUUCCCAGCUAAUCUUUAGCUGCCAGGGGUGACUGACUGGUCUCUAGGCCUGUGUGACUCAGCCUUCGGUAAUCAGUUUCACAGUGAAUGCCAGCAAGCACUCGCCAGCUGGUUGGGAAAUACACAUUUUUCCCUAGCAAGGAGAGCAUAGUUGCCAGGGGGUCACCAACUGGUCUCUGCACCUAUCUGACUGGGGCCUUAGCAGGCUCAUUUGGUUGGUUAAUAACAAAAAUAUCUAGAGUGCUUGAAUUUAUAUUUGUAAUUGUACUAUAAGCUCAUAGCUCAUUCUGCCACCUGCUGUGUUUCAUGGAGUGGUUUAUACUUACACAGGUGGCUCAAUAAAGGCAGGUGCUGACACACAGCUACACAGUGGUUUUUUUCUUUGUUUUAAGGUUUCCAUGUUGGUGGUGCACCAGCGUUAAAGCUUCAUUUUUAACCGCUUGACUUUUUUGUUUAUACAUUCAAACCUCUACUAAGUGCUCCCUGCUAUGGACAGAAGCUCUCGCGGGGUAGUAUCGCUUACACCACAGCAGGUUCUUGUCUGUGUCUGCAGGACUGUCUCCCAGUUGAGUCCGCGUGAAACAGAGAGUGAAACCGUAUCAAACCAGUCAUCAUUACAAGCCCAUUCCAAAACCCCAGGAGGGAUUACACAACGGUCAGUGCGUAGUGGGUGUGACACAGGCUUCUCCGUCAACCCCAGUGCUCACAGUGAGUAAUGAGUCCACCCAGGAGGACCUAAGCACACGCCCAGGGCCCAAGGAAAUGUAUGUGCUCACCAUGUCUGGUAUGACAACCCCCCUCCUCGACUAGCCAGGAACAGAAACUCAUAUCUGCCUCUCUGUCUUUGAUCCCAAUAAUCCCUCCCACAAAACAUAUUGUGUGGUUUUUAUAUGGCGCCCUACAUAAGGUAAGAGGCUUAUUGCAUCUUUUGCCUUUGUGCACACAGACAAAUGCUUGCUUUGUGUGCUUGUCUUCCCUAUCUCGCUGUUUUUCUAUUGCACACACAUUCAGACUAUGAGGCCCAGACAUAAAUCAAUAUGACUCAAAAUGCAAAGAAAACAUUGACCCAAAACAUACAGCACAGCAAUGAUGAAGGCAUUUAUUUGCUCAGCGGGGUCUGUGCUGAUAUGUGAACGAACCAUUUUGUUUGCAGAGAAAAUGGAGGUGAAUUAAUUGAUGUGCGAGGGGUGUAAUUUAAUGCCCAGGGGCCUAGUGAGCCAAUUAUAGUUGAGUGUGGAG
ensembl:lncRNA